GGUUAAUGAACUUGUAUAAAGUUUAUAUUUUGAAAAUAUACUAAAGGAUUUUCCUAUUAACUC
rnacentral:tRNA from 1 species